CGUAGGGUGCGAGCGUUGUCCGAAAUUACUGGGCGUAAAGAGCUCGUAGGUGGUUUGUCACGUCGUCUGUGAAAUUCCGGGGCUUAACCUCGGGCGUGCAGGCGAUACGGGCAAUACUUGAGUGCUGUAGGGGAGACUGGAAUUCCUGGUGUAGCGGUGAAAUGCGCAGAUAUCAGGAGGAACACCAAUGGCGAAGGCAGGUCUCUGGGCAGUUACUGACGCUGAGGAGCGAAAGCAUGGGUAGCGAACAGGAUUAGA
rnacentral:rRNA from 1 species